AUUGAACGCUGGCGGCAGGCCUAACACAUGCAAGUCGAGCGGAUGAAGGGAGCUUGCUCCUGGAUUCAGCGGCGGACGGGUGAGUAAUGCCUAGGAAUCUGCCUGGUAGUGGGGGAUAACGUCCGGAAACGGGCGCUAAUACCGCGUACGUCCUGAGGGAGAAAGUGGGGGAUCUUCGGACCUCACGCUAUCAGAUGAGCCUAGGUCGGAUUAGCUAGUUGGUGGGGUAAAGGCCUACCAAGGCGACGAUCCGUAACUGGUCUGAGAGGAUGAUCAGUCACACUGGAACUGAGACACGGUCCAGACUCCUACGGGAGGCAGCAGUGGGGAAUAUUGGACAAUGGGCGAAAGCCUGAUCCAGCCAUGCCGCGUGUGUGAAGAAGGUCUUCGGAUUGUAAAGCACUUUAAGUUGGGAGGAAGGGCAGUAAGUUAAUACCUUGCUGUCUUGACGUUACCAACAGAAUAAGCACCGGCUAACUUCGUG
rnacentral:rRNA from 1 species